GGAGGCAUGGCACUGUGGUAGAGCACCUGUCUAGCAAGUAGAAGGUCCUGGGUUCAGGCACCAGUACCACCA
rnacentral:tRNA from 1 species